UCCACUAGCUCGUUGAAACCGGAAAUGAAUUACGGGUUUGAAUAGAAAUGAACAGAAUGAAUAGAAAAAGAGAAAUGAGAAACAUUCAUAAAUGAUUAUGUUUUUCUUUGAAAUGGAGAAAUGAAACCAUUUGGAAAUGAAUGUAGGUUUCCAAAAAUGGAAAUGGAAAUGAUCCAUUUUGCAAUCCUAUAUGGAUUACUUAAAAAAUUAUCGGAAUAAUGAGUUUAUGUUUUUGGAUUAUUUUGAAGCCCAAAAAUGAAAAUAAAUCAUACAACCAUAGUGAACAUGUUGAGUUGUGAAAUAUUAAACAUGUUUUCUCGAAAUUUUACCAGGG
rnacentral:lncRNA from 1 species